GAUGAAGAACGCAGCGAAAUGCGAUAAGUAAUGUGAAUUGCAGAAUUCAGUGAAUCAUCGAAUCUUUGAACGCACCUUGCGCUCUUUGGUAUUCCGAAGAGCAUGCCUGUUUGAGUGUCAUGAAAAUAUCAACCUUGACUUGGGUUUUGUGCUCUAGUCUCGGCUUGGAAUUGGGUGCUUGCCGCUUUUACGAGCGGCUCACCUUAAAUGUAUUAGCUGGAUCUGUCUUUGAGACUUGGUUUGACUUGGCGUAAUAAGUAUUUCGCUAAGGACAUUCUUCGGAGUGGCCUCGUUUCUAGGACGCUUGUCCGCUUGCCAAUACAAGUUCCACCUCGUGGACAUGACUUUUUAUUAUCUGGCCUCAAAUCAGGUAGGACUACCCGCUGAACUUAAGCAUAUCAAUAAGCGGAGGA
rnacentral:misc_RNA from 1 species